rfam:Caenorhabditis brenneri strain PB2801 C_brenneri-6.0.1_Cont166.4, whole genome shotgun sequence.
GCCAGGGUGGCCGAGUGGUGGAAGGCAACAGUUGUAAAACUGAAGGGCAUGCUCCUAAUGCAGGUUCGAAUCCUGCCCCUGGCG